GCCUGGGUGGCUCAGUCGGUUGAGCAUCUGACUCUGAAUCUUAGGGUCGUGAGUUCGAGCCCCACGUUGGGCU